rnacentral:rRNA from 1 species
CCUACGGGGGGCAGCAGUGAGGAAUAUUGGUCAAUGGACGAGAGUCUGAACCAGCCAAGUAGCGUGAAGGAUGACUGCCCUACGGGUUGUAAACUUCUUUUAUAUGGGAAUAAAAUGUUCCACGUGUGGGAUUUUGUAUGUACCAUAUGAAUAAGGAUCGGCUAACUCCGUGCCAGCAGCCGCGGUAAUACGGAGGAUCCGAGCGUUAUCCGGAUUUAUUGGGUUUAAAGGGAGCGUAGGUGGAUUGUUAAGUCAGUUGUGAAAGUUUGCGGCUCAACCGUAAAAUUGCAGUUGAAACUGGCAGUCUUGAGUACAAUAGAGGUGGGCGGAAUUCGUGGUGUAGCGGUGAAAUGCUUAGAUAUCACGAAGAACUCCGAUUGCGAAGGCAGUUCACUGGACUGCAACUGACACUGAGGCUCGAAAGUGUGGGUAUCAAACAGGAUUAGAUACCCUAGUAGUC